rnacentral:rRNA from 1 species
UGGGGAAUCUUGGACAAUCGCCUCAAGCCUGAUACGGGCGCGCUCUUGUGUCUGAUGAAGAAAUUAGGGUGGUGGGGCUCUCUCGCCAAUGUUGUUAUUGACGUUACCUUGUAAAGGAGGGCGUGCAAGUAAUGUGCCAGCAGCCGCGGUAAUUCGGAGGGGGUGGGCGUUGAAAAUAAUUACUGGGAGUAAAGGGUUCGUAGGCGGAUUUGUCAGUCAGAGGUGAAAUCUCCGGGUUCAACCCGGGAACUGCAUUUGAUACUGCUGGUCUGGAGUUCGAGAGAGGUGGGUGGAAUUCCGAGUGUAAAGGUGAAAUUCUCUCUACUUUUUGAGAACUCCGGUGGCGAAGGCGGCCCCCUGGCUCGAUUCGGCGCUCGU